rnacentral:rRNA from 1 species
AUUGAACGCUGGCGGCAUGCUUUACACAUGCAAGUCGAACGGCAGCGGGGAGGAGCUUGCUUCUCUGCCGGCGAGUGGCGAACGGGUGAGUAAUACAUCGGAACGUGUCGAGAAGAGGGGGAUAACCACCCGAAAGGGUGGCUAAUACCGCAUAAAUUCUGAGGCAGAAAGCUGGGGACCUAGGAAUAGGCCUAGCGCUUUUUGAGCGGCCGAUGUCGGAUUAGCUAGUUGGUGAGGUAAAGGCUCACCAAGGCGAAGAUCUGUAGCGGGUCUGAGAGGAUGAUCCGCCACACUGGGACUGAGACACGGCCCAGACUCCUACGGGAGGUAGCAGUGGGGAAUUUUGGACAAUGGGGGCAACCCUGAUCCAGCCAUGCCGCGUGUAUGAAGAAGGCCUUAGGGUUGUAAAGUACUUUUGUUAGGGAAGAAAAGUCAGCUGUGAAUAAUGGCUGAUACUGACGGUACCUAAAGAAUAAGCACCGGCUAACUACGUG